rnacentral:rRNA from 1 species
AACGAACGCUGGCGGCAUGCCUAACACAUGCAAGUCGAACGAGGCCUUCGGGUCUAGUGGCGCACGGGUGCGUAACGCGUGGGAACCUGCCCUUAGGUUCGGAAUAACUCCCCGAAAGGGGUGCUAAUACCGGAUAAUGUCUUCGGACCAAAGAUUUAUCGCCUUUGGAUGGGCCCGCGUUGGAUUAGCUAGUUGGUAGGGUAAAAGCCUACCAAGGCGACGAUCCAUAGCUGGUCUGAGAGGAUGAUCAGCCACACUGGGACUGAGACACGGCCCAGACUCCUACGGGAGGCAGCAGUGGGGAAUAUUGGACAAUGGGCGAAAGCCUGAUCCAGCAAUGCCGCGUGAGUGUUGAAGGCCUUAGGGUUGUAAAGCUCUUUUACCCGGGAUGAUAAUGACAGUACCGGGAGAAUAAGCUCCGGCUAACUCCGUG